GACGAACGCUGGCGGCGUGCUUAACACAUGCAAGUCGAACGGGAAGGCCCUGCUUUUGUGGGGUGCUCGAGUGGCGAACGGGUGAGUAACACGUGAGUAACCUGCCCUUGACUUUGGGAUAACUUCAGGAAACUGGGGCUAAUACCGGAUAGGAGCUCCUGCUGCAUGGUGGGGGUUGGAAAGUUUCGGCGGUUGGGGAUGGACUCGCGGCUUAUCAGCUUGUUGGUGGGGUAGUGGCUUACCAAGGCUUUGACGGGUAGCCGGCCUGAGAGGGUGACCGGCCACAUUGGGACUGAGAUACGGCCCAGACUCCUACGGGAGGCAGCAGUGGGGAAUAUUGCACAAUGGGCGGAAGCCUGAUGCAGCAACGCCGCGUGCGGGAUGACGGCCUUCGGGUUGUAAACCGCUUUCGCCUGUGACGAAGCAUGAGUGACGGUAAUGGGUAAAGAAGCACCGGCUAACUACGUG
rnacentral:rRNA from 1 species